UACGUAGGGUGCUAGCGUUGUCCGGAUUUAUUGGGCGUAAAGGGCUCGUAGGCGGCGUGUCGCGUCGGGAGUGAAAGCCCGCUGCUUAACGGCGGGUUGGCUUCCGGUACGGGCAUCGCUGGAGUGCGGCAGGGGAGACUGGAAUUCCUGGUGGAGCGGUGAAAUGCGUAGAGAUUGGAAAGAACACCGAUGGCGAAGGCACUUUACUGGGCUAUUACUAACACUCAGAGACGAAAGCUAGGGUAGCAAAUGGG
rnacentral:rRNA from 1 species